rnacentral:rRNA from 1 species
UUUUGGCGAGCGAGCUUACAUGCAGUCGACGGUACAGGCCUUCGGGUGCUGACGAGUGGCGAACGGGUGAGUAAUGCAUCGGAACGUGCCCAGAGGUGGGGGAUAACGCAGCGAAAGCUGUGCUAAUACCGCAUGUGAUCUGAGGAUGAAAGCGGGGGACCAAGCAGCAAUGUUUGGCCUCGCGCCUCUGGAGCGGCCGAUGUCAGAUUAGGUAGUUGGUGGGGUAUAGGCCUACCAAGCCGACGAUCUGUAGCUGGUCUGAGAGGACGACCAGCCACACUGGGACUGAGACACGGCCCAGACCCCUACGGGAGGCAGCAGUGGGGAAUUUUGGACAAUGGGCGCAAGCCUGAUCCAGCAAUGCCGCGUGCGGGAAGAAGGCCUUCGGGUUGUAAACCGCUUUUGUACGGAACGAAAAGGCUCUGGCUAAUACCUGGGGCUGAUGACGGUACCGUAAGAAUAAGCACCGGCUAACUACGUGCCAGCAGCCGCGGUAAUACGUAGGGUGCGAGCGUUAAUCGGAAUUACUGGGCGUAAAGCGUGCGCAGGCGGUCUUGUAAGACAGAGGUGAAAUCCCUGGGCUCAACCUAGGAAUGGCCUUUGUGACUGCAAGGCUGGAGUGCGGCAUAGGGGGAUGGAAUUCCGCGUGUAGCAGUGAAAUGCGUAGAUAUGCGGAGGAACACCGAUGGCGAAGGCAGUCCCCUGGGCCUGCACUGACGCUCAUGCACGAAAGCGUGGGGAGCAAACAGGAUUAGAUACCCUGGUAGUCCACGCCCUAAACGAUGUCGACUGGUUGUUGGGCCUUAGGUGGCUCAGUAACGAAGCUAACGCGUGAAGUCGACCGCCUGGGGAG